rnacentral:rRNA from 1 species
GACGAACGCUGGCGGCGUGCUUAACACAUGCAAGUCGAACGGAAGGGCCCUGCUUUUGUGGGGUGCUCGAGUGGCGAACGGGUGAGUAACACGUGAGUAACCUGCCCUUGACUUUGGGAUAACUUCAGGAAACUGGGGCUAAUACCGGAUAGGAGCUCCUGCUGCAUGGUGGGGGUUGGAAAGUUUCGGCGGUUGGGGAUGGACUCGCGGCUUAUCAGCUUGUUGGUGGGGUAGUGGCUUACCAAGGCUUUGACGGGUAGCCGGCCUGAGAGGGUGACCGGCGGCCUUGGGACUGAGAUACGGCCCAGACUCCUACGGGAGGCAGCAGUGGGGAAUAUUGCACAAUGGGCGGAAGCCUGAUGCAGCAACGCCGCGUGCGGGAUGAAGGCCUUCGGGUUGUAAACCGCUUUCGCCUGUGACGAAGCGUGAGUGACGGUAAUGGGUAAAGAAGCACCGGCUAACUACGUG